rnacentral:rRNA from 1 species
AGUCUGGUGCCAGCAGCCGCGGUAAUUCCAGCUCCAAUAGGAUAUAUCAAAGUUGUUGCAGUUAAAAAGCUCGUAGUUGAAUUUCUGGAAGGUAGAAGUGUUUUUUUUAGAGAAGCAAUUUUUUAUGAAAGACGCCGCUUUCCAUUUUGUGGAUUUCUGUUUUGUAUGAGAUAGUUUACUCUAUUUUUAUAUAAAAUACCACUCCGUCACUGAGAGCAAAUUGGAGUGCUCAAAGCAGGCUUUAUUAGCUUUGAACAUUUUAGCUUGGAAUGACAAGAUAUGACUUUUGUUUUAUUUUGUUGGUUAUGAAAUAAAAGUAAUGAUUAACAGGAACAGUUGCGGGGGUACUCGUAUUGAAAGGUCAGAGGUGAAAUUCUUGGAUUCUUUCAAGACGAACGACUGCGAAAGCAUUUACCAAGGAUGUUUUCAUUAAUCAAGAACGAAAGCUCGGGGAUCGAAGAUGAUUAGAUACCAUCGUAGUCCGACGCCAUAAACGAUGCCGACUCGGGAUUAUUUUGUUUGUUUACAUUAAUAAAGGACACAAAGUAGCACCGUAUGAGAAAUCAAAGUCUUUGGGUUCCGGGGGGAGUAUGGUCGCAAGGCUGAAACUUAAAGGAAUUGACGGAAGGGCACGCCAGAGGUGGAGCCUGCGGUUUAAUUUGACUCAACACGGGGAAACUUACCAGGUCCAGACAUGAUGAGGAUUGACAGUUUGAAAGCACUUUCUUGAUUUCAUGGGUGGUGGUGCAUGGCCGUUCUUAGUUGGUGGAGUGAUUUGUCUGGUUGAUUCCGAUAACGAACGAGACGGGGUGAAUUUACUAGUUUGUUAUAUAAUUUACGUUAUAUAAGACUUCUUUAUUCGACAACUUGGUUUUACCAAGAGGAAGCGCCCCGCAAUAACAGGUCUGUGAUGCCCUUAGAUGUUCUGGGCUACACGCGCGCUACAAUGACGAAUUCAACGAGUUUAAAAUUUAUUCCUUAUCCGGAAGGAUGUGGGUAAUCUUUUCAAUAUUCGUCGUGAUGGGGCUAGAUUUUUGCAAUUAUUAAUCUUCAACGAGGAAUCUCUAGUAUGUGCAAGUCAUCAGCUUGCGCAGAAUGCGUCCCUGCCCUUUGUACACACCGCCCGUCGCACCUACCGAUUGGACGAUCCGGCAAGAUGUUUGGAGUUGUUUUGAUUGUAGAGUAAUUUAUGAUGAAAAUGACAAAGCUCUUCAAACCUUAUCGUCUAGAGGAAGGUGAAGUCGUAACAAGGUCUCCGUAGGUGAACCUGCGGAGG